CUACGGGUUGCUCCAGUGGGGAAUAUUGGGCAAUGGGCGAAAGCCUGACCCAGCAACGCCGCGUGAAGGAAGAAGGCUUUCGGGUCGUAAACUUCUAUCCCAGAUGAAGAUAAUGACGGUAAUCUGGAAGGAAGCCCCGGCUAACUACGUGCCAGCAGCCGCGGUAAUACGUAGGGGGCAAGCGUUGUCCGGAAUGAUUGGGCGUAAAGGGCGCGUAGGCGGCCUUUUAAGUCCGAUGUGAAAGUCCUGCUUUUAAGGUGGGAAUUGCAUUGGAAACUGGAAGGCUUGAGUGCAGGAGAGGUAAGUGGAAUUCCCGGUGUAGCGGUGAAAUGCGUAGAGAUCGGGAGGAACACCAGUGGCGAAGGCGACUUACUGGACUGUAACUGACGCUGAGGCGCGAAAGUGUGGGGAGCAAACAGGAUUAGAUACCCUCGUAGUC
rnacentral:rRNA from 1 species